rnacentral:rRNA from 1 species
UACGGAGGGGGCUAGCGUUGUUCGGAAUUACUGGGCGUAAAGCGCACGUAGGCGGCUUUGUAAGUUAGAGGUGAAAGCCCGGGGCUCAACCCUGGAAUUGCCUUUAAGACUGCAUCGCUUGAACAUCGGAGAGGUAAGUGGAAUUCCGAGUGUAGAGGUGAAAUUCGUAGAUAUUCGGAAGAACACCAGUGGCGAAGGCGACUUACUGGACACAUAUUGACGCUGAGGUGCGAAAGCGUGGGGAGCAAACAGG